UCUUAGCAUGUAGGACCAAUGCCACCCAAUAAGCGUGGGUGCGACUAAGUAUGUCCACUUUCUUAUCUCUGUUCAUGGAAUGCUGCCCAUGGGUUUGUUUCAUUCAGCUACUCACCAGGUACUGGGAAGAAGGGAAACGCGGGCUCCCUUGUGUGAAGGAUUGCUUCUCCAAGAGCUUCCGGGAGCCUAAGAUUCAUGGAUUUUCAAACAUCAUUCUUAACGCCUGUCUGAGGAGCCUGGGAUCUGCCCUGGACACGCUUCCUGGAGUUGGAAGGACUAGCUGCCAGUCCUGGGAAACACUUUCCUGAAAGAGGAGAUACUGGGAACGCGUAAAACAAACUGUCUGAGGAAUAUAUGGCUCAUUGGAGACAUUUCAAAUACCACCAGCAGGCAGCGAGCUCUUGAAUUCUUCUAAAGUCAUCUGUGCUGCUCAUCUGUAACUGGGUAU